UACGAAGGGGGCUAGCGUUGUUCGGAAUCACUGGGCGUAAAGCGCACGUAGGCGGCUCUUUAAGUCAGGGGUGAAAUCCCGAGGCUCAACCUCGGAACUGCCUUUGAUACUGGGGAUCUCGAGUCCGGGAGAGGUGAGUGGAACUGCGAGUGUAGAGGUGAAAUUCGUAGAUAUUCGCAAGAACACCAGUGGCGAAGGCGGCUCACUGGCCCGAUACUGACGCUGAGGCACGAAAGCGUGGGGAGCAAACAGG
rnacentral:rRNA from 1 species